rnacentral:rRNA from 1 species
UACGUAGGGUGCAAGCGUUGUCCGGAAUUACUGGGCGUAAAGCGCACGUAGGCGGACUGGAAAGUUGGGGGUGAAAGCCCAGGGCUCAACCCUGGAACUGCCUUCAAAACUCCCAGUCUUGAGGUCGAGAGAGGUGAGUGGAAUUCCGAGUGUAGAGGUGAAAUUCGUAGAUAUUCGGAGGAACACCAGUGGCGAAGGCGGCUCACUGGCUCGAUACUGACGCUGAGGUGCGAAAGCGUGGGGAGCAAACAGG